rnacentral:rRNA from 1 species
UACGGAGGAGGCAAGCGUUGUUCGGAAUUAUUGGGCGUAAAGGGCUCGUAGGCGGAUCAGCAAGUCUGGUGUGAAAUCUCCACCGCUCACCGGGGAGAGGUCACUGGAAACUGCUGAUCUGGAGUUUGACAGAGGGUCGUGGAAUUCCGGGUGUAGCGGUGGAAUGCGUAGAUAUCCGGAAGAACACCGGUGGCGAAGGCGGCGACCUGGGUCAAAACUGACGCUGAGGAGCGAAAGCCAGGGGAGCAAACGGGCUUAGAUACCCCGGUAGUCCUGGCUGUAAACGGUGGAUACUAGGUGUGGGGGGUAUCGACCCCCUCCGUGCCGAAGCUAACGUAUUAAGUAUCCCGCCUGGGGAGUACGGCCGCAAGGUUGAA